AGUGAUACAGAAGUAAACAAACUUGCCACACAAGUAUACAAACAAACAUGCCGUACAUACAAGUUUAGAAAUGCAUCGAACAUACCAUGUCAGAAAGAAUGGAUUGAGAAACCAGAAUAUGUAAACAACAGAAUUAACAAGACUUAAAGAGAAAGAUCAAGACAUCAAGUUUGGAAAGGGAAUGAAAGGCUUCUUUUUCCCAUUUGACAUCAUUGUGUUUUCAUUUCAAAUGGGUUUUUAUUUGCUAUUCUUUUUUCCCAUUUCAUAUGGGUUUUUAUUUGUUGUUUUUUCCCAUUCAAAAUGGGUUUUUUUCGAAUCAAAGUUGAAAAUGAAAAAAAAUCUAGUUAAAUAUAUUUUAGAUAACUAGAAAAAAUGUGUUUGUAUUUCUUUUUCGCCUAUAGUAGUAUCUGUUUCACAACGUUAUAACAAUUUUGAUAUUGAACUGGUUCAUCAAAAAGAUAUGUGUGCUUCGAACCAACCAGACAAAAUGACAAUGCCGAUAACAUUGACCAAUAUUACAUUAUCGACAUCAUUGUCCAAAAACCAUCAGUUCGUAAAUAUAAGAACGGAAACAAUGUUUAUUCCACUGAUGAUUACGAUAAAAAAGCUGCAAUUUUGCCAUUAAAACAUUUAGUAAAUAAGUCCAAUGUGUGGUAUUAUUACGGUGGCACAAAGGUGACAUGUAUGUGUUUUUAUUUAUCUCGUGCGCACGAGAUGUCGUGGCCACGAGUUACUAAGUCUUGGCCAUGAGAUAGUUAAGUCAUGGGAACGAGAUACUAUGUCUUGGCCACGAGUUGCUAAGUCGUGGCCACGAGAUAAUUAAGUCGUGGCCACGAGAUACUAUGUCGUGGCCACGAGAUACUAUGUCGCAGCCACGAGUUGCUAAGUUACUAAGUACAUGUCUAGUUAAUUAAGAAAACUCAUAUAAUUA